CCUUGUACCUGAGGGCCUAGGACGCUCACAAAGCUACAGGUAUAAAUGUAGAACUCAAAAAGUGGCACGAGCCUCAGCAACAUUGGGGAGAGGGUCGUGCAACACAAACAAGAGCCUCUCGCUCGCUCGUCUUGGUAGAGCCACACACAGACACACCAAACAACAGCCAGACAACAUUACAGAGGAGACACAGAGACUACACAAGAAAGACAAAUAAAUUGUGAUAGAACUUACCUCUUGUACACAGAGAAUAUACAAGGUCCAUAAGACGGCGUAUUGUGCCGGACUCAUGUUGGUGUGCGCGUGUGUGCGUGUGCUUUUGGACACCAGUCUGUAGUACGUCCACGUUCUUCCGUCUCACUAUAAAUUCUAAAGUCGGGGGUUUAUCACGCAAAACACUUCUUCUGCCAGCCAGCCGACGAACAGCUUCCCUUCGCGCGAAGCCGCUCAGUCCCGCCCCUUUUUUCCACUGAUUGACAGCAGCGGCUGAAAAGAAAGAAAAAAAAGGGAGAGAGAGGGGAGUUAUAAAAAAAAAAAAGCCGGCUUGUGGACACUUAA